GCAUAGCUCAGUCGGUACAGCAUGAGACUCUUGAUCUCUGGGUUGUGGGUUUGAGCUCCACGUUGGGCA